UACGGGGGGGGCAAGCGUUGUUCGGAAUUACUGGGCGUAAAGGGCGCGUAGGCGGUUGGAUAAGUCAGCUGUGAAAACCACGGGCUUAACUCGUGGCCUGCAGUUGAGACUGUCUGGCUUGAGUGUGGGAGAGGAGAGUGGAAUUCCUGGUGUAGCGGUGAAAUGCGUAGAUAUCAGGAGGAACACCGGUGGCGAAGGCGGGUCUCUGGGCCGAUACUGACGCUGAGGAGCGAAAGCGUGGGGAGCGAACAGG
rnacentral:rRNA from 1 species